GUUUCUGGACAUGCACACGCAUAGCCGCUGAGAGGCACUAUGAACAUGGAAGUGCUGAUGAAGUGUGUGCUUUGGUUCCCCUCCUUCCCCCCACUUAGCUCUGCUGCAUUAUAUUCACCCCUGUACAGCUUCAUUGGCAUAUACCGGAGCAAGGGAACAAGGAAGUCAUUUUAUGGAAACACCUACUUUAUCAAAGAAUACAUGACAUAUGACUGGCCAUUAGGGGGUUAAGUGGC